rnacentral:ncRNA from 3 species
GUCGGGAGGGCGGCCAAUACAACACCCGCAAGGGGAAUACGCCCGCCGUCUGUACGCGGUUUCUAACCUCCCGACAUCCCGUC